rnacentral:rRNA from 1 species
AUUGAACGCUGGCGGCAGGCCUAACACAUGCAAGUCGAACGGUAGCACAGAGAGCUUGCUCUCGGGUGACGAGUGGCGGACGGGUGAGUAAUGUCUGGGAAACUGCCUGAUGGAGGGGGAUAACUACUGGAAACGGUAGCUAAUACCGCAUAACGUCGCAAGACCAAAGAGGGGGACCUUCGGGCAUCUUGCCAUCGGAUGUGCCCAGAUGGGAUUAGCUUGUUGGUGAGGUAAAGGCUCACCAGGGCGACGAUCCCUAGCUGGUCUGAGAGGAUGACCAGCCACACUGGAACUGAGACACGGUCCAGACUCCUACGGGAGGCAGCAGUGGGGAAUAUUGCACAAUGGGCGCAAGCCUGAUGCAGCCAUGCCGCGUGUGUGAAGAAGGCCUUCGGGUUGUAAAGCACUUUCAGCGGGGAGGAAGGCGGUGAAGUUAAUAGCUUCACCGAUUGACGUUACCCGCAGAAGAAGCACCGGCUAACUCCGUGCCAGCCGCCGCCGUAA